UCCGUUAUGGUGUAGUGCUAGCGUUAUUGCCUCUCAUGCCAAUCCCCCAAUGUUGAGAUGAGAUAGCGAUAGCCCACGGCUCAAUUCCCUGUAACGGAA